rnacentral:rRNA from 1 species
UACAGAGGGUGCGAGCGUUUAAUCGGAAUUACUGGGCGUAAAGCGUGCGUAGACGGUUACAUAAGUCGGGUGUGAAAGCCCCGGGCUCAACCUGGGAAUUGCAUUCGAGACUGCGUAGCUAGGGUGCGGAAGAGGGAAGCGGAAUUUCCGGUGUAGCGGUGAAAUGCGUAGAUAUCGGAAGGAACACCAGUGGCGAAAGCGGCUUCCUGGUCCAGCACCGACGUCAGGCACGAAAGCGUGGGGAGCAAACAGG